UCUGUGUAUCUUUUUAAGUUAUAAAUUUAAUAGUAGUAUUAUUUUUUGAAACACUAUAAGACAAAAGAUUUGUUGAUAUUCAUGGAAGUCCAGCAGCUGUGAUUUUAAUAUCUUUUUUGGUUUGAAAAUUUCUGAAAAAUUUCAAAAAGAGAAAACAAGUUACUUUCAGCAAAUUCGAGCAAAUUCUAUAAAUAGAAACGGUACUGUAACUGAAUCGGAAAUUGUUACCAAUUCUGCAAGUUAAAUGUACAGUACAAGUGUUUUGUUAACGGGUGUAUAACACGAUUGUAUACAAUACAACACAAUAUGACAAGAAAAUGCUCAAAUUUAUUUUAUUAAGGGCAAUAAAUUUCUACAGAAUGUUUACGCGAUACUGCUGGCGUUAGAUGCUAUCCUCGGCCACAAAUCUGCACAUUCUUUUGCAACGGGUCCUGUGAUAGCUGACCCUUUCAUUUCUCCUUUAUUAUUGACAAUAACC